AACGAACGCUGGCGGCAGGCCUAACACAUGCAAGUCGAGCGGACCCUUCGGGGUUAGCGGCGGACGGGUGAGUAACGCGUGGGAACGUGCCCUUUGCUUCGGAAUAGCCCUGGGAAACUGGGAGUAAUACCGGAUACGCCCUUUUGGGGAAAGAUUUAUCGGCGAAGGAUCGGCCCGCGUUGGAUUAGGUAGUUGGUGGGGUAAUGGCCUACCAAGCCGACGAUCCAUAGCUGGUUCGAGAGGAUGAUCAGCCACACUGGGACUGAGACACGGCCCAGACUCCUACGGGAGGCAGCAGUGGGGAAUCUUAGACAAUGGGGGAAACCCUGAUCUAGCCAUGCCGCGUGAGCGAUGAAGGCCUUAGGGUUGUAAAGCUCUUUCACCGGGGAAGAUAAUGACGGUACCCGGAGAAGAAGCCCCGGCUAACUCCGUG
rnacentral:rRNA from 1 species